rnacentral:rRNA from 1 species
AAAACUCUAUAUUUACUCAGGAGAAGGACCACAGUAUGUGUCACGGUUGUCAGUCCGAUGUCUAUGGUUUUUCUCCGCAGAAGGCCAAACAUUACGUCACGGUCGUUAUGCAGACGACCGUUGUAGUCCAGCCACACAUUCAGGUGUCCCACGUUGGCUACCCAUCGAACUGCCUAGAAGUAUACCGUAUUUUUCGCCGUGUGUGCAGGGGUGUUUGAAUUUACCCAAAAUGAAGGUGCCCUGUGUGCCAGGGCAGGGGCCAAGGUGUCUUCGUCAAAAUUCUAGCUUUCCCUUUCCCCCACCUCUCCUUUAGAUUUCAAUUGGGUCCAAUCCUUUUAUGUUUGGCUUUUUUCCAGCUUUGUAUAUUAGGUACGGUGAAAGAAUAUCUCAUAAAGACCUGGUUUGUUCCGUACCUAAAUUUUUAUUUUAGAAGCCGAACCAAAAUAUUUAAACAGAGCCACCAAUAAACCCCAAAAGUAGCCCUUAAUCAUAUACGAAUAUAAUUAUCCCAAUAAAUUAUAUGUUAGUGGACUAGCUAUUUCUUUUAGCUUUUUAGAUAUAAAAUGACUGAUUUUUUGACUUCGCAUGCACACUAUGCAAUGCAUCGCUUAUUGCGAGCGAGCUCGCUCACGUGUGGCGCCCCACAUGGGCUGGUGCAGUAACGCUUGGUAUUUCAAUUGUUUAGUACUGUCACCGAC